rnacentral:tRNA from 1 species
AGUAGCUCAGUUGGUUAGAGCAUCUGACUGUUAAUCAGAGGGUCCUAGGUUCAAGUCCUAG